GGAGAGGUGGCCGAGUGGUCGAAGGCGCACGCUUGGAAAGCGUGUAUCUGCUUAUCGGCGGAUCGUGGGUUCGAAUCCCACUCUCUCCG
rnacentral:tRNA from 1 species